GCCUGGCUGGCUCAGUUGGUAGAGCAUGGGACUCUUGAUCUCAAGAUCAUGAGUUCAAGCCCCGUGUUAGGCA